AGCUUGUGUAGGGCUGUCUCCCACUGGGUUUUCAGCAUCUCCAAGGAUAGAGAUGCCAUAGCCUCUGUGGGCAACUUGUUCCACUGCUUGAUAGCUCUCUUACACGCAGAGCAGACCCCACUGAGAGGAGUCUGGCUCCAUCCUCGGACUGGCAACAGUAGCACAAGGCAGCUGCAUUAAAGGGUGAUAAUGCUCUACGUUUAACUAAAAGAAAAGGGCAGAAAACUGUGAAAUAACAGAUUAAAACAGGAAGACCAGCCUAGAAAGGGCCUCAUGAGACUGUGAGGGCUAAUCCUCGUGACCCCAGCCAUGCACCUUCGCUCACUGCUCUGAUGGCUUUUUCCACUUUCCAGCCUUUGUUGUGUCUGGGCUGGUUUAUGUCGUGGUGCCAGUGCCGUUCUUCAGGUUCAAUGGCAAAGGAAUGUAAAGAGUUUAAAAGAAAUAAGAAGGGUGAUUCAGGAGACACCUCGGGGUCUCAGACUGCUUUUCUCCAGCUAUUAAGACAUGGAAGUUGCUGGGUGUUUGCUCUUGCUGGGCAAAGUUGUUAACCAGGGAAUAGUUAGUGGAAAAGUACUGCUGUAGAGUGAAUCUUCAGUAAAAGGAGAGCUGAAGUUAUGCCCUCAAUGUGAGGGAGCUGAAAUUAUGUCAUCGAUAAAGUAGUAGCAGUUACUGGUCCUGAAAGAACCUUGGUGUCCAUGUGGUCAUCAUGCUACAAAUGGCGCCCGAACAGGGACCUGAAGAACAUCACACCACAAAUGGCGUCUGAACAGGGACCUGAAUAACAGGGACAGGCUAGCAGAACAGGGACCAGGACAGGAGCAGAAACGCUGAUCGCCUCAUGAAGAUAGGUUCAGCCAAACUCAGCAAACUCCUCACAGAAACUCAUACUUCAAGUUGCUGAAGGGAAGUGCACCUGAGCUGGAAGGAAGCUGAAGCUGAGGGAAGCAGACCUGCACACGCAACUGCCCCUCACAGGCUGAAGGAAGUUAAUGGAAGUUAACUGUGUACUUGCUGUUUGUGGCAAAGAGAUGACGGCCUGAUGCUUGAGCAAACAGCCUCUUGAACCAACCCAGGUAUCUAACAAGAAAUUGCAACCACUGAAAUACUGCGGUGUAGGUCCAGACAAGAAAAAACCCUCAUUGGUAUACUCUAACCUUGGCCUGCUAUUACCUGCUAUUAGCAGUAGACCGAGCUGCAGCACAAACCAGAGCUGAUGGCAAGAGUUUGCCAUCAGCCAGCAGACUGCAGGAUGUUACCUCUGUGUGUGGUGGUGGCUCCCAUGCCUGAUUUCACCAGCACUCCCUAUGGGACUGGGAGGGAGCAGGAGAUUUGCCAGAGAAGCCCAUGAGCUAAAUCCUCUGAUCUGCUGCAUAUGCUGCAGUGUGUGCUGUCAUCCCAGGUGCAGUUACUUUGUCUAUAAAAGUGAGGAUAUGGAGCUUUAAAAAAAAAAAAAAAAAAAAAAAGACAGCAAACUUCUAUGAUUUCCUUUGAUUAAUGGGUAGCUGAAGGAAAGUAUUUUGCAGAAAAUUUACAAAUUGAAAAGUGUUUGUUUCUGAAUAUCAGCAAUGUUUCAAGAAUGCAUUACAGCAGCAGUGUUAUAAAUUGAUGCAUUCCAUUGAUCAUCCCCUUCUGGACAGAAAAUGAAAACAAACAAACAAAACCAAGCCAUUUCUUUGAUCACAAAUGGGUAUAAUAAUGAGGUUUCAUUUUCAGAAUGUUUGGUUUCUCAUGUUUGAAAGAUAUUAUAAUGUCACGUACAAAAGUUAGAAAUUGUAGCUGGUGUGAAGUUAUGAUUUUACUGCUGCUGACUCCAAAUGUUAAAUUAAAAGUCAAGGCAGAAAA